UGUUUUUUUGCUCAACCCUCUCGUUCAUAAGGGGGCGAGGGACCUCGGCGGCCUCCGAAAGGCGCACGGCAUUCGGGCGCAGGAGAAAAAAGUGUGUUGUAUUGCUCUGCUACAGCUCGUAUUCCAUAUGGCCCUGGCACUGUUGUUCCUGAUGGCGAUGCUGGUUGCAGGGUCCAUGCAGGAUGCCUCACGGAGUGCGCACCUUAGGCUCCGUCGCGGGUUCGGUUGCCCGUACAACGAGCUUGCGUGUUCCCGGCAGUGUGUCGACGCUGGCAAACACCACGGCUUCUGCGGCAAGAACGGCGCCUGCCAGUGCGUCGGCUGAGCCCACCCGCCGACGUGGCCAAACGAGACGGACGGCCGACUGCACUGUUUGGCUAGUGUCCGUCCAUUAAAUUGUCACAAUUCAUGCAGC
rnacentral:lncRNA from 1 species